UACGGGGGGGGCAAGCGUUGUUCGGAAUUACUGGGCGUAAAGGGUUUGUAGGUGGCUUGUUAAGUCAGACGUGAAAUCCCUCAGCUUAACUGGGGAACUGCGUCUGAUACUGGCGAGCUUGAGUGCAGGAGAGGAACGCGGAAUUCCAGGUGUAGCGGUGAAAUGCGUAGAUAUCUGGAGGAAUACCGGUGGCGAAGGCGGCAUCCUGGACCGACAUUGACGCUGAGGAGCGAAAGCAUGGGGAGCGAACAGG
rnacentral:rRNA from 1 species